GGAGAGUUGGGUGAGCGGUCGAAACCAGAGUCCUGCUAAGACUCCGAACCUCAAAAGGGUUCCGCUAGUUCGAAUCUAGCACUCUCCA
rnacentral:tRNA from 1 species